AAAUAUUUUCUUUUAAAGAAAAACAUGAGUUUUUUAAUAACUGAAAAUUUUAACAUUUAAUUAGGUAAUCAGGGACAUAUAGUCAGAUUGAGCUAUUUGAAGUAAUUUAUUUUUUUGAGGAAGAUUAGCCCUGAGCUAACAUCUGCUGCCAAUCCUCCUCUUUUUGCUGAGGAAGACUGGCCCUGAGCUGACAUCCGUGCCCAUCUUCCUCUACUUUAUAUGUGGGAUGCCUGCCACAACUUGGCUUGCUGAGUGGUGCCAUGUCCACACCUGAGAUCCGAACCCAUGAACCCUGGGCUGCCGAAGUGGAACGUGGGAACUUAACCACUGUGCCACCGGGCUGGCCCUAUUUGCAGUAAUUUUUAAGCUAUAUUUUUUUGUAUAAAAACCACUAUUACAAUGCUAGUGGAAAUUAAAACACAAGAAAGGUUCACAUGAUCUUGCCAGAUCACCCAGCUCCUUCCAGGCUUUGUCAAUAUGUGUGUGUAAGUUGUGAAUAAUUGUAAUCUGUGAACUCUGUAUUUAUACAUUUUCAGAGAUGAUUUUGGAGAUGUGUGCUUAAAUUUUACAGAGUUUUUUUAAGUGUUUUCAAUCAUCUUUUAUGAAUUCUACAGCACCAUAAAAAUGAAAUAUUUGUCACUUUAUAUAAAACAUCUACAUAAUAAAAAUGUCAAUCAACAUAUUUAUUGUAUCUCUGCUAUGUUUUCUCAGACAGUUUUUGAGGGAAGAACCAUCAACAGCUUUUAAUGAUUGGUGGAAGACAGUGGCAAUAAGCGGAUGAAAAAAGAAAAGUUUGAAUUUCAAGACUCCAUCUCAAGAUGUCUACAGAUAAAGCCCAUCAGAUGGAGACCACCAAGAACACAUGAAGCUGGGUACCUGAGGGUUACUGUAAAUGUUCAAUUCUUUUCACAUUGUUCCCAACACAGACAUAGAUGAAAAGAAGUUAAUCUUGUCAACUUACUGUGUUCUUGUUUAACUUGAGGGGUGACUCAAGGGUAACAAGGAUUUAUAAGCUUGUUUUGCAGAAGAAAAAGAAUGCCUUCAAUUUCAUUAUUUUUAAAUUUAAUUUAAUUUAAUUUUGUUAUUUUUUUGAUGAGGAAGAUUGACCCUGAGCUAAAAUCCAUGGCCAAUCUUCCUCUUUUUGCUUGAGGAAGACUGUUCCUGAGCUCACAUCUGUGCCUAUCUUUCUCUAUUUUGUAUAUGGGACAGCACCACAGCAUGGCUUGACAGGUGUUGUGUCCCAGGAUCCAAACCCGUGAACCUCAGGCCACCAAAGUAGAGUGCAUGAACCUAACUGCCACACCACCAGGCCGGCCCCAAGAAUGCCUUCAAUGAAGUUACAAUCACCAGAUAACCAGCCCCCAGCUGCCCUUGAUGCCCCGAAGUCAGAUUGCCCGAGAGCUUAUCUGGAGUGAAAGGAACACCAUGAUUUCCCCUUUGUUUCUCUGACACUCCUCCCGCCAACACCAUUAGCUUAUGAAACCCCCUACCUUCCUCUCUUGUGAAGGUGGAUUUGAGAGAACCUAUCCUCCUCCUUCUUGUUUUGGCCAAUUUGAAUAAAUCUUUCUCUGCCUCCA
rnacentral:lncRNA from 1 species